UGCAAGUCGAGCGGACAGAUGGGAGCUUGCUCCCUGAUGUUAGCGGCGGACGGGUGAGUAACACGUGGGUAACCUGCCUGUAAGACUGGGAUAACUCCGGGAAACCGGGGCUAAUACCGGAUGGUUGUUUGAACCGCAUGGUUCAAACAUAAAAGGUGGCUUCGGCUACCACUUACAGAUGGACCCGCGGCGCAUUAGCUAGUUGGUGAGGUAACGGCUCACCAAGGCGACGAUGCGUAGCCGACCUGAGAGGGUGAUCGGCCACACUGGGACUGAGACACGGCCCAGACUCCUACGGGAGGCAGCAGUAGGGAAUCUUCCGCAAUGGACGAAAGUCUGACGGAGCAACGCCGCGUGAGUGAUGAAGGUUUUCGGAUCGUAAAGCUCUGUUGUUAGGGAAGAACAAGUACCGUUCGAAUAGGGCGGUACCUUGACGGUACCUAACCAGAAAGCCACGGCUAACUACGUGCCAGCAGCCGCGGUAAUACGUAGGUGGCAAGCGUUGUCCGGAAUUAUUGGGCGUAAAGGGCUCGCAGGCGGUUUCUUAAGUCUGAUGUGAAAGCCCCCGGCUCAACCGGGGAGGGUCAUUGGAAACUGGGGAACUUGAGUGCAGAAGAGGAGAGUGGAAUUCCACGUGUAGCGGUGAAAUGCGUAGAGAUGUGGAGGAACACCAGUGGCGAAGGCGACUCUCUGGUCUGUAACUGACGCUGAGGAGCGAAAGCGUGGGGAGCGAACAGGAUUAGAUACCCUGGUAGUCCACGCCGUAAACGAUGAGUGCUAAGUGUUAGGGGGUUUCCGCCCCUUAGUGCUGCAGCUAACGCAUUAAGCACUCCGCCUGGGGAGUACGGUCGCAAGACUGAAACUCAAAGGAAUUGACGGGGGCCCGCACAAGCGGUGGAGCAUGUGGUUUAAUUCGAAGCAACGCGAAGAACCUUACCAGGUCUUGACAUCCUCUGACAAUCCUAGAGAUAGGACGUCCCCUUCGGGGGCAGAGUGACAGGUGGUGCAUGGUUGUCGUCAGCUCGUGUCGUGAGAUGUUGGGUUAAGUCCCGCAACGAGCGCAACCCUUGAUCUUAGUUGCCAGCAUUCAGUUGGGCACUCUAAGGUGACUGCCGGUGACAAACCGGAGGAAGGUGGGGAUGACGUCAAAUCAUCAUGCCCCUUAUGACCUGGGCUACACACGUGCUACAAUGGACAGAACAAAGGGCAGCGAAACCGCGAGGUUAAGCCAAUCCCACAAAUCUGUUCUCAGUUCGGAUCGCAGUCUGCAACUCGACUGCGUGAAGCUGGAAUCGCUAGU
rnacentral:rRNA from 1 species